GGCGAGAUGGCCGAGUGGUUAUGGCGUGUGGUUCAGGAGAUCUGAGCAGUAUGAAAUAUUCUUAUAUUAUCUUCCACAUGGAGCAAUCCGCGUGGGUUCGAGUCCCACUCUCGUCA